ensembl:lncRNA
AUGUCAGAAAGGCUACCUAAAAUUUUUGGGAUUCAUCUGCAGGCUACUCCUUUGGCUAUUCCUCCAAAUCAGCCUCACCCCUCCGAUCCUCCACACCAGCCUCACCCUCCUCCCGGCCCUCCAUGUCAGCCCCACCAUCCUGGUCGGUCAUGCCAGCUCCACCCUCUUUCUGUCCCUUCACACCACCCUCAAACUCCUGGUCCUACAUCCCAGCUUCCCCCUCCUUGUCCUCCUGCUGGGCCUCCCAGUGCUUCUGGUCCUUCACCCCAUCCUCACCCUGCUUCCGGUCCUUCGCUCCAGCUUGCCAAACCUUCAGAUUCUCUACCCCGGCUUCCCUUCCCUUGUCAUUCACUCUAUCUUAACCCUCCUGUUCUUCCACACGAGCCUCACCCUCCUUCUGGUCCCCCACCCUGGCCUCGCCGUCCUGGCCUCCCACACCGGCAUCACCGUCCUCUUCCUCUAAGCCAGUCCCCCGCUUCUCAUUCUCCAUCCAGCCCUCACCUUUCUCUUCCACCCAGCCCUCACCCUCCUUCUCAUUCUCCACAUCAGAUUCACCUUCCUUCUCGUCCUCCACCCCUGGCUCACCUUCCUCCUUGUCCCACAUCCCAGCUUCACUCUCCUCAUCCUCCACCCCUCCCCCACACUCCUUCUUGUCCUCCACUUGAGCCUCUCCCUCCUCAGCCUCGACCCCAGCCACACUCUCUCUCUCCUCCUCCACCCCAUCCUCAUCCCCCUCGUCACUUUUCUCCUCCUCCAACCCAGCCUCAAGCCCCUUCUCAUCCUAAAGCGCAGCUUCACUCUGCUCAUCGUCCAGCCCAGCCUCACCCUGCUCCUCCUCCUACAACCCGGCUUCACCCUGCUCAUCUUGCAGCCCAGCUUCAGCCGGAUGUUCUAAGCCACGCUCAUCCUCCUCACUCUUCAACUCGGCCUCACCCUCCUGCUGACCCUCAGCCCCAGACUCACCCUCCUGUCCCUCUAAUCCGGGCUUAUCCUCCUCUUCCUGCAUUCCCUCCACACCCUCCUGCUCAUCUCACCUACCGACCUCACCAUUCUUGUAUUCCUAAACCCCGGCCCCAACCCUGUGCUCGGCUUCCACACAAGCCUCUUUCUCCCUUUCUUUCACCUUGGCCUCAUGCUCCUGACUCUUCAUACCCACUUCAGGCUUGUUUUCCUUCACUACAUCAGUCUUCCACUCCUUGUCACCCUUCACGCCAUCUUCAAACUCCUGCUGUCAGUGCAUCCUGGCAUCCCUCUCCCGCAAAUUUCCCUCUCUCUCCUGGCCCUCCAUGCCAGCCUCACCCUCCCUUGAAUCCUCCAUCCAAGUCUCUCCCUCCUUCUGGUAUAUUUCAUGAUUAUUCUCCAGUCCUCCUAUCUGAUGAGUCUUCUGAGAAUUCCAGCAUAGAGGAGAUCACACCCACAUGCAGUGAAUGUCUCUCAGAUUUCUGCUCCACAUUUCACCCCAUUCUUGAUAGUAACUCCCCCAAUGACUUGGCCUCAUUUCAAUUCAUGAUCAGCUCUUCUGUUCCUACCAAAUCCCCCCUUUUCCUCCCUGUGAAUUUGCCUCCCGUUUCCAGUUCCCCCUCUGACUUCUCCCUGAGUCCUCCUGACAGCCCUACUUAUUAG